rnacentral:rRNA from 1 species
GAUGAACGCUGGCGGCGUGCCUAAUACAUGCAAGUCGAGCGAACGGACGAGAAGCUUGCUUCUCUGAUGUUAGCGGCGGACGGGUGAGUAACACGUGGAUAACCUACCUAUAUGACUGGGAUAAUUUCGGGAAACCGGAGCUAAUACCGGAUAAUAUUUUGAACCGCUUGGUUCAAAAGUGAAAGACGGUCUUGCUGUCACUUAUAGCUGGAUCCGCGCUGCAUUAGCUAGUUGGUAAGGUAACGGCUUACCAAGGCAACGAUGCAUAGCCGACCUGAGAGGAUGAUCGGCCACACUGGAACUGAGACACGGUCCAGACUCCUACGGGAGGCAGCAGUAGGGAAUCUUCCGCAAUGGGCGAAAGCCUGACGGAGCAACGCCGCGUGAGUGAUGAAGGUCUUCGGAUCGUAAAGCUCUGUUAUUAGGGAAGAACAUAUGUGUAAGUAACUGUGCACAUCUUGACGGUACCUAAUCAGAAAGCCACGGCUAACUACGUG